rnacentral:ncRNA from 2 species
AGAUAGUAGCAAGUAGUAAGAAUAGUAAUUAUAGGGAAUAAGGAUGUGGAAAGAGGUGAGAAUCCUCUACUAUCCGGUAACUGUAAGAGAAACGAAAGCCGAGUUAUCCACUGUCUCUGCGCUAGCAUGGGGCGGGAAGGACGGCAAGUAGGAUAAAUCUUAAGUCAGGAAACCUCUUAUUCCUAAAACUUCCG